rnacentral:rRNA from 1 species
CGCGUAGGCGGACAGUUAAGUUGGGGGUGAAAGCCCGGGGCUCAACCUCGGAAUUGCCUUCAAUACUGGCUGUCUUGAGUAUGAGAGAGGUGUGUGGAACUCCGAGUGUAGAGGUGAAAUUCGUAGAUAUUCGGAAGAACACCAGUGGCGAAGGCGACACACUGGCUCAUUACUGACGCUGAGGCGCGAAAGCGUGGGGAGCAAACA